GCCGGGAUGGCGGAAUUGGUAGACGCGCCGGACUCAAAAUCCGGUGAGCUUUGCUCGUGUGGGUUCGAGUCCCACUCCCGGUACCU
rnacentral:tRNA from 1 species